GUGAAGGGGCCACCACAGAGAACUACGGUUGGAUAGAGUGAGAGGGCGCAGUGCUUGGGGAGCAAAGUAAAAAGCAAUGGAAGGUAGCAGCUCAAACAACGUCGAAAAUAUCUUCCUUCCCGCCCACGAUCCAAAUGAGUUGCGAAACCGACAGAACGAACUUGAGAAGAAAGAAGCACGGAUUCAAGAGCUGAAGAAACAAAUUGAACUAACCAAGCUUCAUUUGGAGGAGAUGAAGAAGAAGUCAGGUGCAAAGGAGAAAAUGGAAGCUUUCAAUCAGCUGGUUGAGGCAUAUAACCGCAUGAGAGAGGAGUACAAUGCAUGGUUGGCUGAGAGAUCGAGGGACUCCAACAAGUGAACAAGAAUUGAUUCAUUUUCAACCCUCUU